GUCCCUUCAGGGACAUCCGAUAAAAUUGGAACGAUACGUAAAAUUGGCAUGGCCCCUGCAUAAGGAUGACGCACAUAAAUCGAAAAAAAGUUAGUACAAUU